rnacentral:misc_RNA from 1 species
UUUGGUUUGUUACGUGUGGUUGGCUGCGGCGUUUGCAACAACUUCCAUGCUUUCAGACCUCUUCAUUUGUGCGGCAAGGCUUGUAUCGCCUUGAGCGUAUUGUGGGUUUUCUGUGUUGAAUACCUAAUCAAUGGUAUCGGUUGGAUUGAUCAAUGUUUCAUUUCGUCUGUCGUCGCAUUCGCGGCGUGAGAUGAACCUUGAUGCGGUCUCUUUGAUCCACCUYGUUGAAGCGCAUGCUUUGACGUUGUGGCGCAUUGAGCAUUGCUUGGUCUCUUGUAUGCGGAACAUGUAGUGGGCAUGAAUCUCACGAUUCUUGUUUGCCCUCAUAUUAGCGUAACGCUUCUCUUACACGACUUGCUCCACGUUUUAGCUYGUACGGACGUGGU